GGAUAAUCUGCCCUCAGGUGAGGAAUAAUCCCGGGAAACUGGGGCUAAUGCCUCAUAGGAGACGGGUGCUGGAAUGCUCUGUCUCCGAAAGGUCCGCCGCCUGAGGAUGAGUCUGCGUCCGAUUAGGUUGUUGUUGGGGUAACGGCCCAACAAGCCUUUGAUCGGUACGGGUUGUGGGAGCAAGAGCCCGGAGAUGGAUUCUGAGACAUGAAUCCAGGCCCUACGGGGCGCAGCAGGCGCGAAAACUUUACAAUGCGAGCAAUCGUGAUAAGGAAACCCUGAGUGCCUGUCAAUGCAGGCUGUUCUGGUGUCUAACACACACCAGGAGAAAGGGCGGGGCAAGACCGGUGCCAGCCGCCGCGGUAAUACCGGCUGCUCGAGUGAUAGCCACUUUUACUGGGCUUAAAGCGUUCGUAGCUUGGUCGUUAAGUCUCUGGGGAAAUCUUUUGGCUCAACCAAAAGGCGUCUCAGGGAAACUGACGAUCUUGGAACCGGGAGAGGUAAGACGUACUUCGGGGGUAGGAGUGAAAUCUUGUAAUCCCCGAGGGACGACCGAUGGCGAAGGCAUCUUACCAGAACGGCUUCGACAGUGAGGGACGAAAGCUGGGGGAGCAAACCGGAUUAGAUACCCGGGUAGUCCCAGCCGUAAACGAUGUGCGUUAGGUGUGUCGGUGACCACGAGUCGCUGAGGUGCCGAAGGGAAACCGUGAAACGCACCGCCUGGGAAGUACGGUCGCAAGGCUGAAACU
rnacentral:rRNA from 1 species